rnacentral:RNase_P_RNA from 1 species
GAACUUGGCCCGGUAAUCGCGGCCUACGAACUGGUGGCGCAUGCCGCUAAGCGUACGGUCGAGGAAAGUCCGGACUCCACAGAGCGCGGUGGUUGCUAACGGCAACCCAGGGUGACCUGCGGGAAAGUGCCACAGAAAAUAAACCGCCCCCUCGGGGGUAAGGGUGAAAAGGUGCGGUAAGAGCGCACCAGCGAUUCAGGUGACUGUUUCGGCUUGGUAAACCCCACUGGGAGCAAGGUUGAAGGUUCCACCUUAUGGUGGCUCUGCACGUAUGCUUGAGGGCUGCUCGUCCGAUAUACGUGGGUUGACUGCUUGAGGCUGCCAGCAAUGGUCAGUCCAGAUGGAUGAUUACCACCAGUGUGUGCGAAAGCAUGCUCGGGUACAUAAUCCGGCUUAUAAGCCAAGUUCUUAG